rnacentral:rRNA from 1 species
UACAGAGGGUGCGAACGUUGCUCGGAAUUACUGGGCGUAAAGCGCGUGUAGGCGGGGUCGCAAGUCAGGUGUGAAAUCCCCGGGCUCAACCCGGGAACUGCACCUGAAACUGCGAUCCUUGAGUACUGGAGAGGGUGGCGGAAUUCCUGGUGUAGAGGUGAAAUUCGUAGAUAUCAGGAGGAACACCGGUGGCGAAGGCGGCCACCUGGACAGUUACUGACGCUGAGACGCGAAAGCGUGGGGAGCAAACAGG